ensembl:lncRNA
GGACAGGGUUUUCGGGGAUACAUUUAUGUAACAUGUAUUUACACGGAGAGACAGUCUUGUUUCUCAGUUUCUUUUACUUUUUCAUAAAUGGAUUGGCAUUUGUGUGUUGUCUUGCCAGUGUGCUUUUCCCCCUAACACUUGUCUCUCUGGUGUUUCCCUGCUAGUACUCGUAGGUCUGCUUCAUUUUUGUAUGGCCCCUCAAUGAUUAUAACUGGGACAUACCAUCAUUGCUUUAAACAAUUGCCUGUUUUAAAAAUUAUUUAUUUUUGUUUUUUUUGGUUGGGUCAGGUCUCAGUUGUAGCAAGUGGGAUCUUUGAUUUUCACUGUGGCAGGUGGGAUCUAGUUCCCUGGCCAGAGAUUGAACCCAGGCCCCCUGCGCCGGGAGCACAGAGUCUUAGCUGCUUGACCACCAGAGAAGUCCCCCUAAAAGGUAUUUUCAAAGACACAGACACCCAGAUGAAGAGAAAUCCAGAUCCACAAAGCACCUGGGCCCAUGGUUCCUAUCCGGCAGAGUCUCUUUUGGACCUGAAGUAUCACAAGACCUCUCCAGUCCAUGCCUCCUGGCAACUCUGCUUGGCAUACUGGCCCAUCCUGCUUUUGACCAUGGCCCUCCCCCAUCCCCUACUGUGAGCUCAGACUGCCUCUUGGACGGUCCACUCCAAGAACCUGUUUUCUUGUGUGGGGACUCAUCUUUGUGGGGACUCACCUCCUGUUUGCAGCUGGAUGCCUACUCAGCAUCGCCUAGAGCCAGGCGCUCCUCUACAGUUUCCAAGCUGCUCGGUCAUCAGAGAAAGAUACAGCUUCUUCUAUGGCACAAGCGUGUGCUAAAACUGACAUCCAGGGCUUUCCUGGUGGUUCAGUGGUAAAGAACCCACCUGCCAAUGCAGGAGACAUGGGUUGGAUUCCAGGGCCAGGAGGAUCCCACGUGCCACAGAGCAACCAAGCCCGUACAGCACAGCUACUGAGCCUGUGCUCUGGAGCCCAUGCUCCACAACAAGAGAAGCCACCGAAGCGAGGAGCCUGGGCACCACAGCUAGAGGAAAGCCUACUUGUAGCAAUGAAGACGAAGCACAGCCAAAUAAAGAAAUAAAAUUAUUUUUAAAAAAAAAUUAAAAAACUUAAAAUUCAAGUCGUGCUGACCAGAGUGGGCGUGCCAUCCAGCAUGAAUAUGUGCCAUAGCAUCUUCAGCAUAUUUGUACUGGACACUGAACUAAGGCUUUGACGUGUGUUAUCUCUGUGCAUGUUCAAUACAACCCUGAGAGAGUCUCAUAUUAUUCCUGUUCUAUGGAUGAGGAAAUAGGCAAAGAUGUUAAGUAACUUUCUAAUUAAGGUCACCAGGCUAGAAACUGGGACUGGAGCCCUGUUGCAUCUAAUGCCAAAUGCCUGCUCUUAACCACCACUCGAUACUGCCUCUCGUGGUCUUCAUCAGCAUCCCAAGGCCUCAGUUAAGUCCUCUGCCUGGGAUCAGCCUCAGAGUCUGGAUUAUUCCCAGAGCAAAUAUCAGGCCAGGACUAAAUCUUGGGCCCAGAAAAACUAGGUGGGAAACAGAUGGGAACCCUGGAAGGGAUUUUGCUGCAGCCGAAGGAGUUGGGGAUUAGGAUUCAAAAGGAUUGAGGUGGUCUUGCUCGGCCCCUUGUUGUCUGAGUGGACCUGGUCAAAUCUUGAAUCUCUCUGAGCAUCAGUUUCUCCAUUGGUGACAUAAGGGUAGCAGCAGAAGCUACCUCUCAGAGAUGGACUGAGGAACAAGUGAGGAAAUGCGCCAACAUGAGGCAGGAUCCUAUCGACUACAGAGGGCUGUCUGAUGGAAUGACCGUUAGUGCCAGCCACUACUCAGCAUUUGUUGUGGGACAAACAAUCUGCUUUGGCAAAUGUCACAAAGGCUUGCCUUCCAUUCCACUCCUGAAAAGUGAAAAUUAGGGAGCUCCCUAAUAGGGGUUCCCAGAACCACUGGCAGUCCAGUGGUUAAGACUCUGUGCUUCCAAUGCAGGGGGCGUGGGUUGCAUCCUUGGUCAGGGAGCUAAGAUCCCACAUGCUGCAAGGCAUAGCCAAUAAAUACAUAAAUAUAACAUAAAAGGAAUUUUUAAAAAUUUGAUUGCUGGGGCAGAAUUUGGAGGCUGUGGGUACACCCAGG